UACGGGGGGAGCAAGCGUUGUUCGGAUUUACUGGGCGUAAAGGGCGCGUAGGCGGCCACCGCAAGUCGGUUGUGAAAUCUCUGGGCUUAACCCAGAAAGGUCAACCGAUACUGCGGGGCUAGAGUGCAGAAGGGGCAACUGGAAUUCUCGGUGUAGCGGUGAAAUGCGUAGAUAUCGAGAGGAACACCUGCGGCGAAGGCGGGUUGCUGGGCUGACACUGACGCUGAGGCACGAAAGCUAGGGGAGCAAACAGG
rnacentral:rRNA from 1 species